rnacentral:misc_RNA from 1 species
CCUUGUAAUCUUGAAGUUUUGAGCUUAAGUAAUUGUGUUGAAUUAGAGAAUCUGCCAUAUAGGCUGCACAGCCUCACAUCUCUCAAAAAUUUGAGCAUCAUUUUUUGUCCAAAACUUGUGUCAUUUCCAGCUGCAGGUUUACCCUGUUGUCUUAAAAGUCUCCAUAUUCCCUAUCUUGACGUCUCUUAAAUAAAAAUCCAGAUAGGAUUCUGCCUCAAGAAACAAAGACGGUAUGAUGAAGGACGAAGGCACUCCACAAAUGAGGUAUUUCUCUUUACACUAUCUGACUUCCAGCCUAUAUUGUAUUUGAUAUGGAGCAAUUUUUUGGCCUAAAAUUGAAACUAAUGGUCACUUCUGUUCAGUUGUAUGGUGUUUCAAACAUAAGAAAAUAAACUUUUUUUUUUUUAAUUUUAGAGAAGUACCUGUAAUUCAUUAAAUGGUCAUAUAGUCAUAGUUAUAUUAUGUUUAUUUGGUGCUAAACUGCUAAUUGACCAUGCAAAAGUGAAAAUUUCUCUAUUGAUGAAGAAUCCUUCAAUUGGACUGCAGAUCAGUUAUUAUGCAACAUCUUGCUAAUGGCAGGACUGGAUACACAGAUGUUCAUUCAUGACAGCUUUUAUUCUUCAUCAUUAUGUUUCUUCUUGAAAUCCUUUUAUUGCAUACGAAAUUUUGGUUAACAGAUGUUUAAUCAUGACAACUUUUGUUCUUCAUCAUUAAGUUUCUGUGUAGACUCCUUCUAUUGUUUGCCUAACUUUGGUUCUAGUGAUAACAAAUUUUUCGUUUAGGUUUUGGCCAUAUUUGGGAGGCCUGAAGAACUAAUGAACUAUGCAUGUCACCUUUUGGUUUCAGCAAAAGGGAAUUUGGAUUGAGCUUAGAGUUGAUGUAAACAGUUAAGAACCAAUCCAUCUAGAGUUCAACCGUUAUUGAUUUGCUUAUGUUUAGAGGUAAGCUUCUGAUUAAGCUAGAUUGGCCCCAGCCCUGGGAGAUGUCAUUGUAACCCCAAAUUGAGUAAUAUUUUACAUGGUAUAUUGUGGAGGAUUCAAGUAUUCUCUCAACAGCAAGAAUUAUGAAAUGGUUCCAUCAGGAUGGUCUGAGCUUGAAAAA